GCCCUGAUAGCUCAAUCGGUAGAGCACUGAACUGAAGAUUCAGAGGAGUGAGAUCGUAACUCGCUCGGGGCA
rnacentral:tRNA from 1 species